GAACUCAAAGGGCGGGCAGCGGAGAGGUUAUCUUGCUCUAGUUUUCCUUUCGUCUCCUAAUUUCCAGUUGCUUUUGUGGCGGGUGAUUUCUCUUUCACUUCUGUUUGGUUCCUGAGAAAUUAUAAGGAAAAGGAAAAAAAAAAAGAGAGUAUACAAGAUGAUCAAAAGGUGAGGAUAUUCAGCUACUUGUAUUUUGAUGUGAUAACGGAACCGGAAUGGUUAAGAUAACAAGUUAUCUGGUGGUGCUCUAAGAGUUUUGUUUUAGAUUCGUAUAUGUUAUUUUUUCUGCGAUACAUUUUCCUCUUUUUAGGCUGGAUUUUGUGAGACGAUGCUCCAAGAGCCGAGUUCCCUGGCAUUGGGUCGUGCAUGACACACGGGUGUUCAUCUGUCAGAAAGAUGCAUAUGUUGCUGAUGAGGCUCAAUCCAAGUAAAUAUCCUAUUGAACAAGGUAUUGUUAAUAACUGGGAUGAUAUGGAAAACAUUUGGCACCGUACCUUCUACAAUUAACUCCAUGGGGUUACAGAAGAAUACCCUUUUCUUCCUGUCAACCUGAAAGCCAACAGCAUGAAAAUGGCCCAAAUCAUGUUUGAGACCACCUUCAAUGCUCCUGUCAUAAAGGAAUGUUGAUAUCAAGAAGGAUUGUAUGGAGACAUUGUUCUCAGUGGUGGAUCCACUAUGUUCCGAGGAAUUGCAGACAGAAUGAGAAAGGAAGUCACGGCCUAAGCAUAAAAAUUAAGGCGGUGGCUUCCACCAGAAAGGAAUAUUGCUUCUGGAUUGGAGGAUCCAUCUUAGUAUCUCUCAGUACUUUCGAGCAGGUUUUUCGACCCCAUGUCCUUCAUUGAAACAGCUCCAAGACUUGAAAUUCUUAUAUUUGUUUCCUACCUCAAAAGGUGCGUUGUCAUUGUAGUGCUUUGAAUUGUCAGUUUCAUG